GGUUAAGAGCAGAUCACUAAGGAGUCACUAAGUGCUGCCCUCGUAGUUAGAGACAUACGUGAAUUCCACCCAGGCCAUCGCAGUGGAUGCCACUUGACCCCGCAUGAUUGGGAUGACCACUAACGCGCAGUGAAGCAUCCAGGACAAACAAGUGUAAUGAAUCUGUACGCAUUCCACAAAGAACUGGCAAGUCCUAGAAAACACGGGAAAUGGAAGAAAAGCUGCUGACAUCACUCAACACCAGGUCCUGACAUGGAGGACCUCAACACAUACGUAUGUAUGUCAAUUUCUUCUGUCUUUGAUAACAGAUCACUUCAGGUAAGGUCAUCUCUAUCAGUAUCCUGAAAGGACUCAACCUUCGUUCU